rnacentral:rRNA from 1 species
GUGGACUUGGACCUUAGCAACAACACACUAACAGGUUCUAUCCCAAAACACCUAGGCAAUAUCACAAACAUCUCUCAAUUGUUCCUUGACAAUAACCAACUUUUUGGCGACAUUCCUCGAGAAUUAGGUUAUUUGGUCAACUUAGAGAUCUUGUUCCUUGACAAUAACCAACUUUUUGGUUCUAUCCCAAAACACCUAGGCAAUAUCACAAACAUCUCUCAAUUGUUCCUUGACAAUAACCAACUUUUUGGCGACAUUCCUCGAGAAUUAGGUUAUUUGGUCAACUUAGAGAUCUUGUUCCUUGACAAUAACCAACUU